ACGCCAGCAAAAUCUGGCGUCGGGAUUUGCAACCCGGAUGUUAAGAGGCGACACCAGACGCGCCAGCGUCUUUUUU
rnacentral:sRNA from 1 species